CGCAACGAGCGCAACCCUAAUCGCAUGUUGCCAGCGUAAAGUCGGGCACUCUUCGAAACUGCCCGUGUAAGCGGAAGGAAGGUGGGGAAUACGUCAAGUCGACAUGGCCCUUACACCUGGGGCUACACACAUGCUACAAUGGCCGGUAACAGAGGGUCGCAAUACCGCGAGGUGGAGCAAAUCCAAAAAAUCCGGUCUCAGUUCGAAUUGCAGUCUGCAACUCGACUGCAUGAAGUCGGAAUCGCUAGUAACCGCAGGUCAGCUAUACUGCGGUGAAUACGUGCCCGGGCCAAUGUACACACCGCCCGUCAAGUGACCUGAGUCGGUUGCACCCGAAACGAUGGCCCAACCCGAAAGGCAGGGAGUCGUCGAAGGUGUGGCCGGUAAGGGGCGCUAAGUCGUAAGAAGGUAACCCGGGAGGCCGCACGAGA
rnacentral:rRNA from 1 species